UAUGACAGCUUCAGUGUUGAUUAUACCCAGGA
rnacentral:piRNA from 1 species